GAAAGCUGUUGUGAACGAUUUCAGACGGUCACUUCUUUUUUCAUGAGAAAUUUAGAGUCCCCUAUAAGACAUACGCUACUACAAAAUGGCGUAACCCCUAUAUAGGUCCCUGUAUAGGGGCCAGGGGGCGAUUUUGGACACAGGCAGAGUGUAGCUGAUGGACUAACGAGAGACAAGUGCGACCAAUGAGGGGAGGAGCACAGGGCAAGACAGGCCCUCGUGAGACAUUCGUCACCUGCACAUUUGAGCGUCAUCACUUCAGGCUUGUGGCCGACUGCUGCAGAUAUUCGGUGGAGAGAAGCACUAACAGAGAUUUUAUUGCGCCGUGUACGACAAGCUUCGACUACUGCUACUUACUCUACUUCGGGUUAGAAGUUUCCAUUUACAGGGCUCUCUUUAUUAGUUUCAGUGUCUGCUCUUUGUAUUGCACUAACAAAAGGUGAACGACUUUGUGUUGGAGGGCUCAGGAAAGAGAAAGAAAACCUGUGCAAGGCUUUCAGUACACAAGGUUUAAUCACUACACCUUCAUGGACUGGAUCCAAAGCCAGUUGUGUAUACUGUCAGUGGUUCACUAAUACCAUUAAACACAUAGAACAUAGCGUGGGACACAACAGACGAGUCAACAAACCGUUCACUGUACACAAGCACAUAGAUUUAUUUAUACAAAUAUAGUAUGUAUAACAAUUGCAUAUCAACAGUUUCUUGUCUUUUUUUUUUCUCUUUUUAAACCUUUACUGUAAGUACGGGACCAUCAGCUUCAAAAAAUGCAAGUCAAUUAAGAAAGAGUACCUGUGAUUUAAAGAUAGAAAAAGGGGGGUAGCGAGAUGUGUGUGAGUGGAUGUCAUUUCAAAUCUGACAAAUAAGACCUCACUGCUAACGGGUUAUUUGGGCGCAUAAUCUGGAUAGAGGAGGCUUUAGCUCUGCUGUUAGAUGUAUUGUGAUACCAGAUAAGGUUGCAAAUUAAAUAAAUAUGUGUCGAUUUUAAAGAAAAAAAUAAUCAGUUGUUAACACAUAGUGUGUACUUGAGAGGGUAAAACACCUUCUGGCAUUCGGAUUUUUAACUAGUUUGGGAGAAAUCCAAAAAGAAAAGCAGUGAAGACGAGGUAAAGCCUGCAAAAGUCAGAAAAUGGAAAACAAACAGUCAACAUGAAACACAAUCAAUGAGGUGAGGAGCAGAAAACAAGAAGAAGAAGAAGGAGUGCUUAGCACCAAAGAUGGAGGGAAAAAAAAGCAAACACAGACUGGCAGAUUACCACUUUAACUCAGAUAGUUCAGGUACUCGGAUGAAGACAGAUUUUUCUUACAGAUACGGAAGGGAAAGGAAGGCCAAACAUUCCACGCAGUCUCUCACAAUGAUUGUCAAAAUGAAGGAGACGUUUCCACACGAGCUAGAAUCACCAUCUGUUGUAUAAUAAUAAUAAUAAUAAUAUAUUUUUUUUCAAUUUAACAGUAAUCUUCUACAUAAUAUUUAAAAGGAACGAUAGAACUUUAUGUUAAAUCUCUCAUCUCGUAAACUAUAAAAUAGCCGGGAAAAUAAAUCCAUUCAGUUCUACUCAAAUGGAAACUGACGACAUUCUGUUAAUCUGUCGGAAAACAGGACGCAGUUAACAUUUCAGAGAGGAUUGAUCUGUGUAAGAUACACUGUAUAUCUAUAUCUAUAUAUACCAUCUAGGUAAAUUUCACUUGGGAGUAGCUUAUAAAGUCUUUUAUUGAUCGCCGUUAUUGCACGUUAAUUGUUGAUGCCGCCUGUAAAUCGAUAAUCUCUUCAAAUGGCACAGAGAUUUGGAGUCAGAAGCUGCCUCGCAGUGCAUAAGACCCAGGUUUUUACUCUACAGCGGCUUAUAUUCGCACAUAAACUCCCGCGUUUGUGAAUUUCAGUGGCACGAUGUAAAAACCGAAGAGUGUGUGUGUUUGUGUGUGUUAUUGCUAAACCUACAAGAUACAAAAACUUUUUUUUUUUUCUUGCUA